CCUACGGGAGACAGCAGUGAGGAAUAUUGGUCAAUGGGCGCGAGCCUGAACCAGCCAAGUAGCGUGAAGGAUGACUGCCCUACGGGUUGUAAACUUCUUUUGUAAAGGAAUAAAGUGAAGCACUUGUACCUUUUUGUAUGUACUUUAUGAAUAAGGAUCGGAUAACCCCGUGCCAGCAGCGGAGGUACUACGGAGGAUGCGAGCGUUAUCCGGAUUUAUUGGGUUUAACGGGAGCGUAGAUGGGUUGUUAAGUAAGUUUUGAAAGUUUGCGGCUCAACCGGGAAAUUGCAAUUGAUACUGGCAGCCUAGAGUACAGUUGAGGGAGGCGGAAUUCGUGGUGUAGCGGUGAAAUGCGUAGAGAUCACGAGGAACUCCGAUUGCGAAGGCAGCUUACUAAAC
rnacentral:rRNA from 1 species